ensembl:lncRNA
AUCACUUGGGAAGUUUCUCUCGCUCCCUCCCUCCUGCCCUUUCCCUCUAGUUUCAUUUUAUUUUCCCCACGUAAAUUACCUCGUGGGCACCGCCGCUCCCUCCCGUCUGCCCCCGUCCCCAUCCCAUCCCAUCCCAUCCCCGUCCCGCGGGGGCUGCAGUUCCUGGACCCCCCAGCCCGUCCCACGCCCCCGCCGCCCCCGCCGCCCCCGCGCCAUUGUUCGCCCCUCGUUGCGAACUUCGGCCGCCGGCUGAGCCCGACGCUCCCCGUCCUGCGCUGUGCGGAGGUCACUUACUCUUUUCCCGAAGUUGGGCUCUGCUCUUCCAUCUCUCCUCCGCUCGCCACGAGCUGACGUCUUCUCCCCACGCACCCGGAGCUGCGCAGGGGCUGCACUCCCUUCUCACCAUACCAUGGGAGCUGUAUUUCCUCACCGGGAGCCAUGCAGCGGGUGCAGACCUUCAGGAGAGACCUGAUUCCCCAGGAUAACCCGAGGGAGGAAAAAAAAAAAGACCAGAGUAGAACGAAAGCGGGGACCCGCCUGUCUGUCCAUGGAGUCACGCGUGGGCCCGGUCCCGCAGCACACACAGCGGCUGAGUAAUGGUGAAAUAAAACACCCCGCCCCCCCCCCAAAAAAAGGAGGGGGGGACUGAUGGUCCCCUGGGGAGCCAAAGGGCGGCGGGGAGGGAGCGAUGGCCGUCGGCUGGGCCCCAGGCACCUCUGCGCUGUCCUGGGCUGAAGCAACACGCUGUGACCCGGACAUGCGUGGACGUUUGUGUGGGGAUCGAGUGCGGACCCGAGGCCGUGGCCGGGGCUCGCGGGGUUCGGGCGAGAGGCGUCGUGUGCAGCCCCUGCGGGCAGCGGAGGUCUUCUGAGCCCGGGACAAUGGGACGGCUCCCGGCCCGCCGCACGCCGCAUCUUCCCGCAGCCCGCCUGCCGCGCCUCCCAUCCCAUCCUUCUUUCCUUUUAUUUCUUAUUUUUGUAGCAACUGGGAAGAUGUCGUGCCCUGUGGUUGUGGGUUUGAUCCACGGCUUUAAGCAGGGCGGAGGGCUCUGAGGAGGAGACGUGUGUGCACUGCUGUACGGCCAUCGCUGACAGUGGUCUCUUGUUGGCCAGAGUGCCCUGAUGGAAACACUGCUCACAUUAUCUCGACUUUUCAAAACUGGGGGUAAAGGGAGGGAGGGGAGAUACAGUUUCCCACUGCCCCUUUUGUUAAUUGUUUUCUUUCCUCGCAAUUACAUCUGAAACCCGGCCGGGCCCGUUGCUCGUAGCGUCUUUGUAUUUCUGGUGGGAACCACGUGGGGUGGCAGAAAAGACCCCGAAGUCCCUCCUCGCCCCCGCUCCCACCCGGGCUCCGAGUCCGCCGCCUCCGCCCCGCGGCCCCCGCGGAGUCAGGACCACCGAGGCCGGGAUGAGGCCGGGCCGGGUCCCCGCAGCGGUUUCGGCCCUUCCCACUGCACGCUCCGUGCAUCCAUCUCCCGGCGGCUGCACCUUGCGCCGGGCAUCCCCGUGGUGAAGUCCGAUCAAAAGGGAAAAGGGGAAAAAGCCGUUCUGCUGCAACCAGGCCUGCGGGGUGAGGGAGAAAUGGAGAAGGACAGGGAAGCAGCUCGGUCGAAGCUCUCCGAGUUUCACGGCGUGAAGCCUUUCCCCGGCUCUGUGCGCCGGUGGGAGGGGAGGGGGGUGUAGGUGCCGAAAAAUUUAAGGGACCGUUUAAGACCGGAGCCUGCAGUGAAUGGGGACGGGGCGAGGGGGUGGGGGGAAAGUUGGAAAAUGGAUUCGCUGACAAGGAGGGAUAAUAAAUGAGAGGCGCUUUC